AGACGUCUACAUUAGAUACCCCCGUAGUCCCAGCCGUAAACGAUGCGCGUUAGGUGUAUCGACGACCACGAGUCGUCGAGGUGCCGAAGGGAAACCGUGAAACGUGCCGCCUGGGAAGUACGGUCGCAAGGCUGAAACUUAAAGGAAUUGGCGGGGAGCACCACAACAGGUGGAGCCUGCGGUUUAAUUGGACUCAACGCCGGAAGUCUCACCGGAUAAGACAGCAGAAUGAUUGCCGGGCUGAAGACUCUGCAUGACUAGCUG
rnacentral:rRNA from 1 species